AUUGAACGCUGGCGGCAUGCCUAACACAUGCAAGUCGAACGGUAACGCGAGAAGCUUGCUUCUUGGCGACGAGUGGCGGACGGGUGAGUAAUACUUAGGAAUCUGCCCAUUAGUGGGGGACAACUCGGGGAAACCCGAGCUAAUACCGCAUACGCCCUACGGGGGAAAGCGGGGGUCUUCGGACCUCGCGCUAAUGGAUGAGCCUAAGUCGGAUUAGCUUGUUGGUGAGGUAAAGGCUCACCAAGGCGACGAUCCGUAGCUGGUCUGAGAGGACGAUCAGCCACACUGGGACUGAGACACGGCCCAGACUCCUACGGGAGGCAGCAGUGGGGAAUAUUGGACAAUGGGGGAAACCCUGAUCCAGCAAUGCCGCGUGUGUGAAGAAGGCCUGCGGGUUGUAAAGCACUUUCAGUAGAGAAGAAAAGCGAACGGUUAAUACCCGUACGUCUUGACGUAACCUACAGAAGAAGCUCCGGCUAACUCCGUGCCAGCAGCCGCGGUAAUACGGAGGGAG
rnacentral:rRNA from 1 species